rnacentral:rRNA from 1 species
UGGGGAAUUGUUCGCAAUGGGCGCAAGCCUGACGACGCAACGCCGCGUGGAGGAUGAAGACUUUCGGGUCGUAAACUCCUUUCGACCAGGAUGAAUUUCUGCCGACCUAACACGUCGGCAGGGUGACAGUACUGGGUGAAGAAGCCCCGGCUAACUCCGUGCCAGCAGCCGCGGUAAUACGGGGGGGGCGAAGCGUUGUUCGGAAUUACUGGGCGUAAAGGGUUCGUAGGUGGCCCGCUAAGUCAGACGUGAAAUCCCUCAGCUCAACUGAGGAACUGCGUCUGAGACUGGCAGGCUUGAGUGCAGGAGAGGAACGCGGAAUUCCAGGUGUAGCGGUGAAAUGCGUAGAUAUCUGGAGGAACACCGGUGGCGAAGGCGGCGUUCUGGACUGCUACUGACACUGAGGAACGAAAGCCAGGGGAGCGAAACGGGAUUAGAUACCCCGGUAGUCCUGGCCCUAAACGAUGAAUGCUUGGUGUGGCGGGUAUCGAUCCCUGCCGUGCCG